CGCAGGGGGGAGGCGGAGAGCGCCGGCGUCGCCCUGGCGCCACCCCUCGACGCACACCACGCGCGCAGAUAUAAUGAUAUGGCGCCAAAACACUGGGAGGAAGGACUGCCAAGGUACCACGGACCUACUGAGUACGAGCGACCCCCACCCUACUACUAUCCCGGACCAAAUGAUAGACAGUAAAUUGGCGCUCACAGAACUGGACGACGAUCUACUGAAGUACUAAGUCCGAUCUCCACACAACGUAUGUACAACACUUCCAGACAAUCGAACCCCAUAAAUCUAUAGAAUAACCUCAUAUUUUUCCAUGUCGUAGUUGUAUUUGUCUCAUAUUCGAGUUGAAAGCGUCAAUUGCACGAAUUUCAUCUGAACGUAUUUUUAACGUAGUCUUCAUACAAAUUUACCUCCUCCUGUUGAGUAGGCUCUCAUUUGAAAUUUAUUGUUUUAAAGAAGUCUAUCUCAUAGAGAAUAUUUAGAUAAAAUGGAACGUAAUUUAAUUUCGUGUGUUUGGCCACGUUUAUACCGGCCAUCAACAAUAGAGUCUAACAAAAAAUCACUUAAAUUUUAAACAUUCGUGGAAAUUUGUGCAAUUCAAGUUGUUCCAAUCAAUAAAGCGUUGCUUGCACUUGCAAGAUAAGGAAUUUCGGUCCAUUAACGCGCAUCGAAAGAAAGUAUUUUUCUAGGAUAACUUUGAUGUAUGUCAUCUAUAACUGUUUAGUAAUUUAUCUAAGUGUACUGUAAGGGUCUUUGGACAGUUUUUCUUGAUAUUAAAUCUUUUAUGCAUAUUCUUAAUCAAUAUAGAAGGUAAUAGUAAAGACACUGAUCCGAUCAUAUUACGGAGCUCGGAUCUCGGCAGCUGUCCAACCAAAAGCGAUAUAAGAAUUUAUAAGUAAUUCAUUAACCAUUGCCGUUCAUAGCUGUCCAAUGACUUAAUAUUAUUAGUACUAAAUAUAAGGAUGGGAUCGCAUUCAGUAUGUAUGUGGGAAUGAUGUUGUUCCAAUCGUCACGGUAACUGCCAUAAUUCGACUGUCCUGUAUUUUUCAAACUGUUAGCGGAUUUAUCUUUUUAAUGCGCCGAUACCUCUUCAGAAAAAUGUUGGUGGUGAGAUGAUGAAAAAUUUUCAAUCAGAUGUUUACAUACAUAGAUAAAGUAUGGUGUCAUUUGACACAUUUGGACGACGCGUUUAAAUCUGUCAAAUAAAUUGGAGGUGUCGAGGGUUUCGGAUUUCCUGUGAUAAAUGUUUAGGCCAACUUUGUUUCCGAAUUAGUGAAGUCUGAAGACGUUGAGGCGCUUAGCUCAAGAGUAUAUUGUGUGAUGUUGUGACCUGAGGUCAUCUUCGCUUUAAGUUUGUGGUAUUCUUUACGUGUUUCGCGGUUCCCGCACAAAUAUCAAUUUCAGAGGUUCUUUACUUAGCGUUGAAAAUGUGUUCUAUAGGUUUUCGUAAGGGGCUUAUAAGAUUUAGUUAACGGAAAGUUCGUAGCUAGAUACCUAUUUAGAUAGGUCGUUGUUAGGAUCGGGUGGUAAAGGUGAUUUUUCAACUUUCUUAUAAGCACUUACAAUUAUUAAAAUUUUUGUAGCCUUUUUGAAUCUUGCACUUUUUUGAGUGUGGUAAGAAAAGCUGUAGAUUUGGAUUUAUGAGUGUACUGGUGGGGGGGCGUUUAUUCGCUAGAAAUUCCGUAUACUUAGCAGGAAUAAAAGCUCGUAUUAAUUUUUUUAGGAUAAUUGUCAGAAUUGUAGCGAAUAAGUGCCAAAAAUUCUCGUAACCAAACAUCACUUACGAGAUUAGAAACGCAUUUAAAAUUAGGUUAGUGUCAAGUUGUAACGUAUAUUAAGUGUUGGGAUGUGAUGGACGCCAUGCCAAACCUUAUACUGUAUUUACUCGUAAGACUAUAUUGUCUAGAUUUAGUUAGGUCUAGAUCGAUUUCACCCUAAAGUGAUAGAUAUGAAUCUAGAGGUACAGUCAAAUUAUUUUAGAGGACUUUUUAUUUACCCCGUUAUAUAUUAUAUAACCGUGCAAAAUUAUUUGUGGUAAUGAUUUUCCAUGCAAAUUUAGUUAGAAAAAUUAAAUUUAUAAUAACAAAUACAAUAACAUUCUUUCAGGCUAUGGCUAUUUUAACACUGCCUGGGUUUUGCACGUUUAUGUACAAAUAGUAUUCUUUAUUCAUUGAUUUAAGUCAUUUGACUAUUUUAUUAUUGAAUUUAAUAAAUUUAAGUUUGUAUCGCUAUGUGGGCGUGUUCACCCGCCAAUAUUCUAAUACUCUCAAGACACGCCCACUCUAGUUUAAAAGGUUAGUGCUAGUCUAUAACUGGCCUUAUAUCCUAUUUAGUUAAUUUUAUCUAUAUUUUAAGUUCAAAUGUUGAUUGUGUCAUAUCGUAAGUUAAUCGUGGAAAAUGCCAAAAAAUAUUUUCACCUAAAAGGUGUGUUGGGAGGUAAUAAUAUUGUUGCUGGAUUUCAAACUUCAAACACGCAUUGGAAUAAUUCACCACUUUUCAGCAUUUGGGUGUCGUUUGUGAAUUGCCAUUUUUUGGUUAAUUGAUCUCUUAAGGGUGCACGUCUUCCUCUAUUUAUAGUCCAACCUUAAUAACUUACUUUUUAACUUUGACUUAUUUAAAAAGAGCAAAUGACAUUCUAAUAAUUUACUAAACGCUAGUUAUUUUUGAGCAUUAUUUUUUUAUGUAAUACGUAGCUAUCUUUAUAAUUUCAUUUUGUAGAAUAAAUAGUAAGUUAUUAUGAUUGGUAAAAGCUCAGUUUGUCGGAAAAAAUAACUAUUUAGAAAAAUAUCACUGCUCAAUUAUUAGGACUCUCCAUUUGUGGUACUUUGUGUGUAUAGGCUUUGUCUCCAAACAGCUGGCUGCGUUUGAUAAUAUUUUUUUGUAGAGUUUUGAACUAAAGGCGUAUUUACAUCACAUUUGUGUUAUAUAAGUCACAAAAUGUCUAAGAUUCCUUGUAUUAUUUUUAGUUUUGGGUGAUCCCCUAGUACGUGUGUAGAGUUUAAUAUCUAUUGAAGUAUAAAUUGGACGUUCAGACGAGAUUAGGUCAUUGUGGUAUCUUUUUUAUACAAAAACCCUUAAAAGACUGUCAACUCAAUUUUUAAGGGGUAUGGAUAUUAUGGGUAAGGCUUAUAAAAUUAAUGUAUGAAAAAGAUCUUUAGGCAAUGGUCUGAUUAAGUUCAGUGUUAGCUAAUCGAGUGAUGUACCUAUACGUUAUGUUGUGGUAGUUGUAACGAAAAGUUUUUUUAUGAAUGUCCUGUUUGGACUGUGCCACGUAUGUAUCGAGGAUUGUAAAAUAAAUAUGAUUAU